AAAAGUAUAGUAUAGUAUAGUAUAGUAUAGUAUAGUAUAGUAUGUGAUAAACAAAGGAAAUAUACAGAGCACAGUAAGAUGAAUUAAUUCCUUUGAUAUAGAUGAGAGAGAGGUUUUAAGUUUGUUUCUUUCUUAACUAAAAAGAAUAAUAAAAAUAUGUAUGAAACGUGAAAAAUUGUUUUAAAGACGAAUGAAAUGACAGCAACCGCCUCUCCUUUUAUAAUCUGUGUGACAAGGCCUACAGCAUUGACUUUGCAGCAUGAUUCAUCUUUGAUCGGUGUAUCAAUACGCACAACCGAUUUGGUCAAGUAAAAUCACAGAGGCAAAACUUCGGCUUACUUGAUCAGCUUCCUAUUUCCAUGCAAGAAUACCAUUGCACUUUGAUUAAAUUAGCUUGCAUUAAAGUUCAGGCUACAAAAACAUAUUCGGACAACAAUGACAAGUAUCCGACCAAUUACUAAAUUCAAUGUGCGAACCUCUCCACUCUCGGGUAAGAAGAGUGCAUACA